CACACACACACACACACACACACACACACACACACAAAGUAUAACAAUAAUUAUCAUUCCUCCUGCUCAGAGGGGAUAUCCUGCUGGCCCCCAGCCACAGCGGCUCAAUAUCAGGUGUACGUGCAAGAACAGUCGCUCGCAGCUCCAGGGUGAACCCUCUCAUCUUGGAAGAAACCCCAUCAGGUCUUACCCACCCUUUUUAUACAGAGCAAGGGUGAAGUCACGUCUGAGAAGGCAGCAAUAAUGAGAACAGAGACAUGGCUGCUUUGGGUCACGUACACGCUGGAGGAGGCAUUUUGGUUCCUCAAAAGUGAAACUCUAAAUUUAGAAGAAGAAUGUUCUGUUUCGAAUUUGCUGUACUGUAAAGGAAAUAAAAACUGCCACUCUGCUUGAAUACUAAGAUUGUUACAGCUGAAUUUUAAAUGUAAGAACAUAAAAAAACAAAGGCUUUAGCAUGUCGUAUUAAAGCUAGGAGAGCCAAUCAAGUUUUUUGUAUGUAUUUUACAACCGAACCAGUAAUAAAUCACAUAUUACACCACAUCUAUGACUGUUAAAAUCACAGACACUAUCAGAUACUCUUCUGUCGUAAAUAGCUUGUUAUAUCAUCACUAUAUCUAAUUCGAUACACCAGAGUACAGUGCGGAUCUUUUAAGCCAGAUCCCACAGAUGGAAAAGUAUAUGAAUCAUUUUUUCACAGAGAUUGAAAAGCCAAAGUGACGCAAACAAGGACUAAAAGAGCUAAAUUUCAGUGUUCCAAUUCUCUGAAGUCGGUCUAAGCAGCUGAUACACUGACUUAAAGUUUGUGGUCACCCUGUAACGUUUUGGUUUGAAUCCCAAGUAAUGUAACAGUUUGAUGUAAACAUGAAUUGUAAAUACACAGAAAUAUACUGUAAGUUAGGGAAAAGUACUAUUACUGUGUUGACUAUUAACUUAAGGGGAAUUAUUUAGAUUUCACAGGAAAUUAUCUACAGUCCAGGGCUACAGUAUAUCUCCUACACAGUUCUUUACAUAUGAAUGUUAAACUACUCAAAUUAAAGCUGAGACUUCGUAUUUUAAUGUAGUAUCCUUUAUUUUAUUUGAAAUUGAAUGUGCUGAAGCACACAACCUGAAGAAGAAACAAAGUGUAACUGCCCAAAUACUUAAACCAAAUACUUAAAUUUGACCCCUGUAGUAGAAAACAUACUGUAUUUAGGAUAUAAUUGGUGUAAAUGGUUGAUCUUACACUUGCACCAGGCCUUCAUUAAAACAGAAAGAGACCCAUUAGUACAUGAGACCUUACUGAUUAGGAAGUCCUUAAAUACAAUUAUUUUAGGAAACAUUGUAUCAUAGAAGGCAAAUGUCAGCUCAUGGCAGAUAAAAGGUAAAUUAUUAGUGAACAAUUAGUUUGAAGGUAGAAGAACAAAUCACUGCACUCCACUAAAGACAAAAAAAAGAGAGCUGAGGGUUCAUGUCUCCACAAUCAGAUUCUAAAAAGUACAAAAAUGUUACUUUUUGAACAAUUUGUCUGACAGAGAAACUGCCAAACACAUAUUUGACAUAAAAGAUCAAAAGGGAUUUGGUUGUUGGUUAAACUACAAAACACUGCAGUGAAAAGUAUUGACAUCAUCAGGGAGCAUGUGACCACUGACGCUCACAAACACUCCGGAUGAAAACAGUUGAAAUGAGCAACUCAGAUCACACAAACACUCACAUGAUUGUUGGUAUUUAUGUAUAAACAGCGAGUUUAACAAAUUCCUCAUGCUGUUUAUGUAUGUGCAUAUAUUUUCAGACUUAAUGGUUUAAUUUAUGUGGAUAAUUAGUGUCUGACAUAUUGUAUUUCCUACUUUAUACUGUUAUUGGUUGUGUCAAUGUUUCACAGUAAUGGGAUCAAAAGGAAACUUGUCAGUGAGAAAUCUGUGUAUUACUGAAAGAGUAAUAAUACAUUUUGGUGCCACUAUGACGCAUUUAUGAUGGAUAACAGUCAUUUUAAUUGUGAAAGGAAAGAGAAAGGAGAGAAGAGGCAGAAAGUGGGUAUUUGGGGAGGAGAGGCUUCCAAGGGCUUCAUUGUUUCAGGAAUAUAAACAUUCAGAGCAGCUGCACCACUGGACCUCCCUAACCCGCCUCUCCUGAGUUUCCUGAACAGGCACGAACACACCCUCACACACACACACGCACACACACAUUCACACACAUGUGAGUAAGGUCAGCAGAGCUAUAUUUAGCAGUUAGCCGUUAAUCGCUGUGCUGCAGUGCCUCUAUAAAGCCUGGCUACACGCUCCAGUCCACUAAUACUCAACUGAGCGGACUAGACAUCACACUGUUACACUCUGCGUGUCAGACCUACAAAUCGGCCAUCAAAGGAUGAAACGCAGGCAGUUGCUUCUCUCCCUGCCUCUCUUACCCACCAUUACUGAGACGCUGGAGGACUCACCCGUCCAUCUCUCACCCUGCCAGUCUACCCAGAGCUCCCAGUCUCUAGAGGACUACAUGACCAGUAUACAGGCUCUUGCCCGCCCCGUGGAACCCCCGAGCUGCGGCCCCGUCAGGCUCCAGAGGUCCCCCAGGCUACGGCAGUUCUCAAAGGCUCAGAUGAAGCUCUCUGUGUCGGCCUCUCUUCCUCGCGGGUCUCCCCGCACUCUAAGGACUUCCAGAGCUUCCAGUCUGAGUCUGAACAGCACAGAGGAUUUUUCUCUCAAAAUGGGCAGAGAACGAGACUGCAGGGGCAAAGACCCCGUAGACUGGCUGUUUGGACAGAUUCGGACUUAAAGAGAUACAGACAGAUACGGACUUGAUGAGAUAUGUUGUUGAGAGGAGCCCUGCAGGCACUUUGGUGGAAUGUCUCAUAAACAAAAAAGGUCGGAAGAAUCUGUUUAUGAACGUUACAACAAUGCGAUGAAUGAUGGGACUAAUUAUGAUGGAUGAACAAAGAGAAAAACACCACAUGGCUUUGAGGAAAGUGAAGAUCUAUUUAUUUCUAUGCACUGAGGACUCAAGUCUAUGUUUACAUUGUUUAAUAUUUUCUAAGAAUGUAUAGUUUAUUGUUUCUAAUAAAAUACUAAAAUAAUCAUGAAAA